rnacentral:lncRNA from 1 species
UUUUCUCCUGGGGACAGGGUGUUUCAAAGAAAGAGAAGAAAAUAAGUAAAAAUACCUUUUUUUUUUUUUUUGACCUCAACUCUACCAACUGUGAAUUCUACAUUCAGCAAACUUAGUUUAAUCUGUGAAGACUAAGUCAUUCUCACAUUUCUGGGAAUUAAGGAAAUCUAAAAUUAAUGCAUCCAUCAUUCAAUUCUAUGAGACAAAAUGAUUGUAAAAAUUCCUUUUUUUUUUUUCCCGGUUGCUGCUCGCUGUCCCGGUCCGUGCCAGCUCCCAGUUCGCCUCGUCGCCAUGCCUCGGAAAAUUGAGGAAAUCAAGGAUUUUCUGCUCACAGUCCGAUGAAAGGAUGCCAAAUCCGUCAAGAUCAAGAAAAAUAAGGACAAUGUGAAGUUUAAAGUUUGACACAGCAAAUACCUUUACACCCUGGUCAUCACUGACAAAGAGAAGGCAGAUAAACUGUAGUCCCUGCCCCCUGGUUUGGCAGUGAAGGAACUAAAAUGAACCAGACACACUGAUUUGUGCUGUAUUAAAAUACUAAAAAUCCUAAAAAAAAAAAAAAAAAAAAAAAAAUUCCUUUUCGUUUUCCAUAUGCAUGUGCAUCUACUUAUGUAAUAUGUUUAUUUU